UACGUAGGGGGCUAGCGUUGUCCGGAAUCAUUGGGCGUAAAGCGCGUGUAGGCGGUCCGGUAAGUCCGCUGUGAAAGUCGGGGGCUCAACCCUCGGAUGCCGGUGGAUACUGUCGGGCUUGAGUACGGAAGAGGCGAGUGGAAUUCCUGGUGUAGCGGUGAAAUGCGCAGAUAUCAGGAGGAACACCAAUUGCGAAGGCAGCUCGCUGGGACGUUACUGACGCCGAGACGCGAAAGCGUGGGGAGCAAACAGG
rnacentral:rRNA from 1 species